GAUCAUGUAGGAGGAGGCGAACAUGCCGAGCACCUGGAGGUAUUUCACCAGGCGACACAGGAAGUCUGGGCCGGGAAACCGACCCUGAACGUCCCACACCAGCUGGGGCAGCACCUCAGAGAGGAGGCAGAAGUACGGAGCGCCACCACCAGGUCGGCCAGACAGAGGUUGAGCAUGAACUGCUGCAGCGGGUUGUGAUGUCGCCGGCGCCUUAGCAGCACCACCAGCACCAGCCCGUUGCCAAGCAACGCCAUCACCAAGAUGAUCCCCAGCACCACCACCUCGGCCACCGCCAGCAGGGCGUCCCGCUUCCAGUUGGUGGCGUUGGAGCCCCCCGGGGCCUCGGGGGCGACCGACCAAUGGGUGGACAGGCUCAGUGUUCGGGGUCCGGUGCUCUCCACGGCCUUCAUGAUGGACUGAACCACCUCAGAUGUGGAGCCUUGACCUCCCAGAUCAGCGGUGUGCAGCUGGAAAACAUGUGGAGAGAAUGAGUGAAGCUAUGAGCCGAUGCCGGGCGUGUUUUCGUACCCGGGUCUCGGUGACGGUGGACAGGAUGGCUCUGCGGAUCAUGUUGGCGUAGGCGUGGAGCUUCAGGUGGUCCAGC